GGGGGAGCCUUUGAGUGUGAGGGGCUACUGGUUUUGAUGCUCUAGGGAUCUUAGGAGAGGUCCCUUUAAAUAGGCAUAAGGAUUGAAUCCUAUUCAAUCUCAUAAUACAAGUCCUACUUGCAUUAAGAUUCCUAUUAACUUAAGUUAUCCAACUUACAUUAGGAAGUCCAUUAGGCACCAACAAUUGGAGCCCUUGCACC
rnacentral:lncRNA from 1 species